GAUGAACGCUGGCGGCGUGCCUAAUACAUGCAAGUCGAGCGAACAGACGAGGAGCUUGCUCCUCUGACGUUAGCGGCGGACGGGUGAGUAACACGUGGAUAACCUACCUAUAAGACUGGGAUAACUUCGGGAAACCGGAGCUAAUACCGGAUAAUAUAUUGAACCGCAUGGUUCAAUAGUGAAAGACGGUUUUGCUGUCACUUAUAGAUGGAUCCGCGCCGCAUUAGCUAGUUGGUAAGGUAACGGCUUACCAAGGCAACGAUGCGUAGCCGACCUGAGAGGGGGAUCGGCCACACUGGAACUGAGACACGGUCCAGACUCCUACGGGAGGCAGCAGGAGGGAAUCUUCCGCAAUGGGCGAAAGCCUGACGGAGCAACGCCGCGUGAGUGAUGAAGGUCUUCGGAUCGUAAAACUCUGUUAUUAGGGAAGAACAAAUGUGUAAGUAACUAUGCACGUCUUGACGGUACCUAAGCAGAAAGCCACGGCUAACUACGU
rnacentral:rRNA from 1 species